rnacentral:rRNA from 1 species
GGCUCUUUGAUUAUAUAAAUAUAAAGAGUCGAGCCUGCCCAGUGAAGAUUUUUAACGGCCGCGGUACUCUGACCGUGCAAAGGUAGCGUAAUCAUUUGCCUUAUAAUUGAAGGCUAGUAUGAAUGGUUUGACGAAAGCAACACUGUCUCCUUUUUAAUUUCAAGAAUUUAACUUUUAGGUGAAGAGGCCUAAAUUUUAUUGAAGGACAAGAAGACCCUGUCGAGCUUAAAAGACACUGUAGAGUUAUAUAUAUAUGUUUAGAUAAGUUUCUAUUAAGCUUUUUAGUUGGGGCGACUAAGGAACAAAAAAAGCUUCUUAUUAAGAGCAGACAGCCACGUUUAGAUCCAAUAAAUAUUGAUCAAAGAAAUUAGUUACCGCAGGGAUAACAGCAUAAUCUCUCUUGAGAGACCUAAUCGAAAGAGGGGGUUGUGACCUCGAUGUUGGACUAGAAUAUCCUAAAGAUGUAGAAGUCUUUGAGGGUCGGUCUGUUCGACCGUUAACAAUUCU